rnacentral:tRNA from 1 species
GCCGAAGUGGCGGAAUUGGCAGACGCGCUAGGUUCAGGUCCUAGUCUUCGUAACUGGAGGUGGAGGUUCGAGUCCUCUCUUCGGCA